UACGUAGGGUGCAAGCGUUAAUCGGAAUUAUUGGGCGUAAAGGGUGCGUAGGCGGCAUAAUAAGUUAUUGGCGGGAAAUCGAGGCUCAACCUCGUGGAAACUGAUAAUACUGUUUUGCUUGAGUACAGGAGAGGUUAACGGAACUCCAUGUGGAGCGGUAAAAUGUGUAGAUAUAUGGAAGAACAUCAAUAACGGCGAAGGCAGUUAACUAUUCUGUUACUGACGUUGAGGCACGAAAGCGUGGGGAGCAAAAAGG
rnacentral:rRNA from 1 species